GUUCAUUUCAACACCCUAGACUGUGUCAGUUGAUUCAGAGCUUAGACGUGGGAAAGGCCCCAGUCUGACAAUAUGCAGCCGUGCUCCGGCAAGCUUUGCGGUACCCAUCCCAUAAUCUCAAGGGUUUGAAAGGAGGGAGAUGGCUGCGGUUUUGGGGGAGCUCUCGACAGCUGCUGUACUACCAUUUAUUUUGUUAACGCAAACCCAAAUAAUUCCUGUCAGUAUCUGCUCCAGAGUAUCUUGACUCAGCCCUUUUUAAAUUCACACCGGGAAGUAUGAAUUGCAAAAGUGGGAGUAACUAUUGAAACAGCUGCAUUUCUAGUAGAAAUGAGUGCAAAAAUCAAGAGGGGAUUGCUCAUUGUGAUCAGCAGCACUAUGCAGAAGCGUCACUCACUCCUCCUGCUGAUCUCAUCAGAAGAGCACACUCAUGGAUAGACUUUCCUGGGUAGGAGCACAAAAGGGUACACAUGUCACUAACCUCUUGCUACAAAGCAGGUGCCACUAUCAGAGGUCUUCUGGGAGGGUCAGCUGUCCAUCACAGAGUGAUAAACACUUACACAAUGGCCAUGUCAGCGACAUUUCAUUCAUGGGUAUCUACACAUUCAGCUCUGGGACAGUUGGUACGCCACAUCUAUUUAAAUAAUAAUCUAUGGAGUAAGUCGUCAAUGGAUUUUGUGAAUCAAUGAAUUACUUUAAGCCUAUGCAUCUGACGUUCACUUGAAAAAACAUUGCAACUGGCAUGAAAUUGACAUUGACAUCUUUUUAUUUCAUUCUGGAAGGGGGCAGGCAAGCCAGAUGCCCACAUUAGUAUUUGUCACUCCCUCUCUUUGGUUUUGUUUGGCGAUCUGCCUACAGCUACCUGUAGAGUGCCUCUACACCUCAUGCUGGGGAACUGUAUACUCCCAUCUCCACCCUAAAUGCAUAUCCAGCCCCUCGGAAAGUCCCCUAAUUUCACCCAGCCCUGUCUUGUUUGACCUCCCCGUCAUUUGGGUUUCGACAGCAUGAGGGCUAUCCUGACUGUUUGUGUUUAGCUCAGCUGCUUAGAAGGGGUCUUCUUGGAUAUUAGAGGACAUGUGUCCACAUCCAGGCAAGUCCUUACAUGUCUAACCUCUCAUCUGGAGGUAUCCUGCAAGGGAAAUGUGGUGCGGAAUAAUUAUAAAGCAAGAACUUAUGCCCAGUGUUUAUUCACUGAGAUUUUCCAUGACUAUACUCAUAUUUCUUGCAUGCAUAGAACUUAUUUGAUCAUGCAACCAAAACAGUUUGACUGAAGAUUCGGGUGGCAUUUCACAUCAUGCUGUUUCCCAUUUUCACAUCAACACAUAUUUUGCUUGGUGCUUGAAAGGAUUUUCACAGGAUUUUCAUAUAUAUGUGCUUUUAAAUUAGUAAAUCCACCCUGACAUUGCCUAUCAAGAUGUAGCAAACAUGUGGUGCUAGCAAUAAAUGUCUUAUCAAAAUUCAA